GCUGCUGUAGCUCAGUCGGCAGAGCACUUCCUUGGUAAGGAAGAGGUCAUGGGUUCAAUUCCCAUCAGCAGCUCCG
rnacentral:tRNA from 4 species